rnacentral:lncRNA from 1 species
UAAUGAUAAAUGGCAUACAAAUUACUUAUGCUGAACAAACUUGUCUGCAGAAACAGCAGGAAACUAGAGUUGCAGCUGGCAAGCUAGUGGAUGCAGAUAAAGAGGGUGUAGCAAAUGGUAGCAUUCAUUCUCCAGAUUCAACUUCUUCUUUCCAUUCUACCCAGGCAGUUGCUGGAGACGAUGUUGCCCAAAUGGAUCACAUUGUCGGUUUAGAUGCAAGAGCCUCUGGAGACGAUCAGUCAG